AUUGAACGCUGGCGGCAUGCCUUACACAUGCAAGUCGAACGGCAGCACGGGGCAACCUGGUGGCGAGUGGCGAACGGGUGAGUAAUGCAUCGGAACGUACCUUUCAGUGGGGGAUAACGUAGCGAAAGUUACGCUAAUACCGCAUAUUCUGUGAGCAGGAAAGCAGGGGAUCGCAAGACCUUGCGCUGAUUGAGCGGCCGAUGUCAGAUUAGCUAGUUGGUGAGGUAAAGGCUCACCAAGGCGACGAUCUGUAGCGGGUCUGAGAGGAUGAUCCGCCGCACUGGAACUGAGACACGGUCCAGACUCCUACGGGAGGCAGCAUUGGGGAAUUUUGGACAAUGGGGGCAACCCUGAUCCAGCCAUGCCGCGUGAGUGAAGAAGGCCUUCGGGUUGUAAAGCUCUUUCGGCCGGGAAGAAAUCGCACGGGCUAAUACCCUGUGUGGAUGACAGUACCGGAAUAAGAAGCACCGGCUAACUACGUGCCAGCAGCCGCCGUAA
rnacentral:rRNA from 1 species